GUCCGCGAGGGUGUCGGCGGGGCGUGUCGGAGAGGCGAGGCGUACCCGGUGAGGCGUGUGCGUGGGGCGUGUCCGCGAGGCAUGUCCGCGAGGGUGUCGGUGGGGCGUGUCCGUGAGGCGUGUCCGUGAGGGUGCCGGUUAGGCGUGUCGGAGAGGCGUACCCGGUGAGGCGUGUGCGUGGGGCGUGUCCGCGAGGGUGUCGGUGGGGCGUGCGCGUGAGGCGUGUCCGUGAGGCGUGUCGGAGAGGCGAGGCGUACCCGAACAUCUGAAGGCCUAUCCUGACCCUCCCGCCUGGAUGGACAAGGCUUGACCUCGACACUUCCCAAGCGCCUCAGGACCCCGACUACCGCUGGGAUCACAGGUGGACCCUUGGCCUCCAUGAAGUCGCCUGCGCACAGGAGGCAGAGAAGGAAGAUGGAUGCAGCAAACGCGCGAAUCCACACCACGGAAUAGUAUUCGGCGGUAAAAAGCGAUCAGCACCGACACCUGUUGCGACACGGAUGAACCUUGGAAACAUCGAGGCUCCGUGAGGUGCCCAGACUCCAGACUCGGCACGUGGUAUGACUCCGUUUACGUGAAAUUGUUCGCAACAGGCAAACCCGUAAUGGCAGGAAGGAGAUGGCUGGGUACCAGGGCUGGGGACAGGCAAACAGGGGAAGACUGCUAGUGGGUACAGGGUUUCCCACUGGGGUGAUAAAAACGGUGGCCAUGACUGCAAAACACUGUGAAUGUAUUCCAUGUCACUAAUGGUAAGUUCUAGGUGUUAAACGUUAAGUGUAUUUUACCACAAUUUAAAAAGGAAACCAAACGAAUCUGUGUGCAUUCUCCUUAGUGCAGAGACGUGACUUUUAAGGUCUUGGAAGUCAGAAAAGGUGUGCCUGUCCAAGGUAAUGAGUUGGACACGAGAGAAUCAAACAAUGACUCACGACCAAGGACCUCAUUAAACGCAAGCAGCUGGCAUGGGGUGGGGGAGUGGGGCAGGAGCGUCUGGAGGAGUAGCUAGGGAAAGAGCGGAAGCAGAACCUGGGAUCAGGCCUGACCUUCGGGAAAGAUCUAGAUGCUGUGUCUGCAAGGGAAGGAUAGUGGACGCAUUUACAACACACAUUCCUUUGGCAAAGGACAGAAAACCGAAUGAGACAUCGGAAUGCUAAAAUAGUCCAUUUUACAAGCUCUAUCCGUGACGUUCUCUUACUUCAGAGCUUCCACACACAGGGCAGGAAGCUCAGGGUCUCUGAGCUGUAGCUGCCCUUAUCUGUCAGGAGCAGGGUGUCCAGCAGGGCACAGUGGGAAGGCACCCCAAGACUAUGUAAGAGCGAGGCCUCCAUUCAGAGUGACACAACUACUCACACCCAGCCUACAGCCCUGGGUUCCCAGACCCACCUUGUGGGAGGAGCCUCUGG